GACGAACGCUGGCGGCGUGCUUAACACAUGCAAGUCGAACGAAGUGGCGGACGGGUGAGUAACGCGUAAUCAACCUGCCCUUCAGAGGGGGACAACAGUUGGAAACGACUGCUAAUACCGCAUACUGAAGGAGGGGAUUGCGUCGGAUUAGCUAGUUGGAGGGGUAACGGCCCCCCAAGGCGAUGAUCAGUAGCCGGGCUGAGAGGGUGAACGGCCACAUGGGGAACGGGGCACGGCCCCGACUCCUACGGGAGGCAGGAGUGGGGAAUUUUUCGCAAUGGGCGAAAGUCUGGCGGAGGCACGCCGCGGGGUGGAAGAAGGCCUUCGGGGUUGAAAGCUCUGUUAAGCGGGGCGCGGUACCGGAAUAGAAAGCAACGGCUAACUACGUGCCAGCAGCCGCGGUAAUUC
rnacentral:rRNA from 1 species